UACGAGGGGGGCGAGCGUUGUUCGGAAUUACUGGGCGUAAAGCGCGCGUAGGCGGACCUGCAAGUCGGGGGUGAAAGCCCGAGGCUCAACCUCGGAACUGCCUUCGAUACUGCGGGUCUCGAGUCCGGGAGAGGUGAGUGGAAUUCCUAGUGUAGAGGUGAAAUUCGUAGAUAUUAGGAAGAACACCAGUGGCGAAGGCGGCUCACUGGCCCGGUACUGACGCUGAGGCGCGAAAGCGUGGGGAGCGAACAGG
rnacentral:rRNA from 1 species